rnacentral:tRNA from 1 species
GGGGAUGUGGCUUAAGUGGUAAUGCACUCGCCUAGCAUGCGAGAGGCACUGGGUUCGAUUCUCAGCCCUA